UACGGAGGGUGCAAGCGUUGUCCGGAUUUAUUGGGUUUAAAGGGUGCGUAGGUGGCUUGUUAAGUCCGGGGUGAAAGCCCACAGCUCAACUGUGGAACUGCCCUGGAUACUGGCAAGCUUGAGAGUAGUCGAGGGUGGCGGAAUGGACGGUGUAGCGGUGAAAUGCAUAGAUACCGUCCAGAACCCCAAUUGCGUAGGCAGCUGCCUAGGCUACAUCUGACACUGAGGCACGAAAGCGUGGGGAGCGAACAGG
rnacentral:rRNA from 1 species